AAUUGUUUCCUCUCCUCUGCUGUGAUCUCCCUCUUGAAACUGCUGCCCUCAUCAACACUGUGAAGAGGUGAGAUGGAGUUGAGGAGGAGCUGUGUCCACAUUGAAGAACUCCAGACUCAGGAAGGGUGACAAGCACAGACAAUCAUGACAAUGCUCAGGGGUGGAGCUUGGAGAGGAGAUGGUGUACACAAUGCAGAGAAUGCAGGCAUCCCCCUAACAGAGCUGGAAGUUACUGGAAACCUUACCGAACUUCUUUUUCCCCUUGGAUCUUAUUUCUGAGAGACAGAGACACUCUUCAAAACUUACCCUCUUCCUGGGUAAAGAAGCAGUCCUUUCCAUUAAGACUUCCAUUUCAGAACUUUGGUGAUACUUUAUAAUCUUUUUCUAUCCUAUUAUAAAAUAGCAAUAGUAGACUUUACCAACAAUAUGGAUUUAGUAACUCACAUUGAUCUAGACCACAGUGUACCUUUAAAGAACAGAAAAUCUAAGUAAAAAAUAUUAGAUAUACUGAAAAUUUAGUUGUGAGGCCUUUUGGGGUACAGAAAGCAAUACCCCAAAAUAUGGUGCUUUGGCAUGUUGAGUGCUUGGAAUUAAAGAAAAUUGAAGGAGCUUAGAAAUAAGCCUCAGAACCAAGGUCUUUCUCUGACCUUCCCCUUCCUCCCUGUCUCUCUGAUCCUUUUUCUUCAUGAAGAAAGAAGGGACUCUGUGGAAUUUUCUUCUCUGACUAAGAAAGCUUCUUACAAGGAGAAUUGCAAUUGUCUUAAAAUAUCCCUCCUAAGAAUCACAUGAAAUAACCAGAAAAGAUUAACCACUAGAGAAGAGGAGAUACUGGGAGUCAUCACCAUGCCUAAACAGACUUUCCAUCUAUUCUUCUGAGGGCAGCUCCAGGAGAUUAACUGGGAAGCUUUAACUGGAUAAUAAGACUACCUUUGUUCACUGUGAAGUUCUGCCCCUUGCCUUCUCACCACCUCCCUCCGAGCUCAAAGGAACUUUGUUAUUUACUCCGUGCUGUAUGAAGAAGGCUAUAUAAGCAUCCGGACCUCAUUGGAUUAUUGGGCAAUCAUUUUCCUGUGAUUCUCCCAUGCUUAUGCACAUUAAAUACAUUUUUUAUGACUUUUUCUCCUAUUAAUCUGCCUUUUGUCAGUUUAUUUUCAGCAAACCUUCAGAGGGCAAAGGUGAAGCUUUCCUUCUUUACCCUACAGGCCCUUGAGAGAUCUUGAAAUAUAUUCUUCAUUACAUUAAAGCAAUUCUGUGCUGUGAGAAAGAAUGGCAACUAGUCUCUGUCAAUGUAUUCAAAAAAUUAUUAGGAGGCUAUUAUGUGAUAGGAAAUAUUUUCAGUGGUAGAGAUAAUUUUUCCUUUUCUACAACAAGCUUAAAUUGUACUAAGUCACUUAAUAUUUAUUUGUGUAGUCAUUUAUUGAACUAACACCAUGUAACACGUUUUAUGCACAUUAGUAAUCAUUAUUUUAUUGUAUCAGCUUUUGCUAUGUAAUAAAUCACUCCAAACACAGUGGCUUAAAAUAAACAUUUUAU
rnacentral:lncRNA from 10 species